AAUGAACGCUGGCGGCAGGCCUAACACAUGCAAGACGAACGGAUCCUUCGGGAUUAGUGGCGGACGGGUGAGUAACGCGUGGGAACAUACCCAAAGGUACGGAAUAGCCUCGGGAAACUGGGAGUAAACCGUAAGUGGCCGGAAGAGGAAAGAUUUAUCACCUUUGGAUUGGCCCGCGUUGGAUUAGGUAGUUGGUGGGGUAAUGGCCUACCAAGCCGACGAUCCAUAGCUGGUUUGAGAGGAUGAUCAGCCACACUGGGACUGAGACACGGCCCAGACUCCUACGGGAGGCAGCAGUGGGGAAUCUUAGACAAUGGGGGAAACCCUGAUCUAGCCAUGCCGCGUGAUCGAUGAAGGCCUUAGGGUUGUAAAGAUCUUUCAGGUGGGAAGAUAAUGACUGUACCACCAGAAGAAGCCCCGGCUAACUCCGUGCCAGCAGCCGCGGUAA
rnacentral:rRNA from 1 species